GCCCAGGUGGUGGAACUGGUAGACACGUUGGACUUAAAAUCCAAUGGAGGUUAAACUCCGUGUGGGUUCGAUUCCCACCCUGGGCA
rnacentral:tRNA from 1 species